UGCCCAGCAACUCCUAUCCCCACCUCCUCGUGGUACCGACCGUGAACAACCUUAGGGAAGAUCGGGUAACCAACGCCGGUGGGAACUUUGGUCGUAGGCUGAUAGGGAAGG
rnacentral:ribozyme from 1 species